AGAGUUUGAUCCUGGCUCAGAUUGAACGCUGGCGGCAGGCUUAACACAUGCAAGUCGAGCGGGGGAGGUUGCUUCGGUAACUGACCUAGCGGCGGACGGGUGAGUAAUACUUAGGAAUCUGCCUAUUAAUGGGGGACAACAUCUCGAAAGGGAUGCUAAUACCGCAUACGCCCUACGGGGGAAAGCAGGGGAUCACUUGUGACCUUGCGUUAAUAGAUGAGCCUAAGUCGGAUUAGCUAGUUGGUGGGGUAAAGGCCUACCAAGGCGACGAUCUGUAGCGGGUCUGAGAGGAUGAUCCGCCACACUGGGACUGAGACACGGCCCAGACUCCUACGGGAGGCAGCAGUGGGGAAUAUUGGACAAUGGGCGCAAGCCUGAUCCAGCCAUGCCGCGUGAGUGAUGAAGGCCUUAGGGUUGUAAAGCUCUUUCGACGGGGACGAUGAUGACGGUACCCGUAGAAGAAGCCCCGGCUAACUUCGUGCCAGCAGCCGCGGUAAU
rnacentral:rRNA from 1 species